GACACUUUGGCCGAGUGGUUAAGGCGACACCCUGCUAUGAACCUCAGCCCAGCCUGAAGGUGUUGGGCUCUGCCCGCGUGUGUUCGAAUCGCACAGGUGUCG